GACAGAGGGUGCAAACGUUGUUCGGAAUUACUGGGCGUAAAGCGCGUGUAGGCGGCCAUCUAAGUCGGGCGUGAAAUCCCACGGCUCAACCGUGGAAGUGCACUCGAAACUGGAUGGCUAGAGUCCUGGAGAGGAAGGUGGAAUGCUUGGUGUAGAGGUGAAAUUCGUAGAUAUCAAGCGGAACACCGGUGGCGAAGGCGGCCUUCUGGACAGUGACUGACGCUGAGGCGCGAAAGCGUGGGGAGCGAACGAGG
rnacentral:rRNA from 1 species